rnacentral:rRNA from 2 species
CGCGGAACCUUUACAAUGCACGCAAGUGUGAUAAGGGGACCCUAAGUGCUCAUGAAUUUCAUGGGCUUUUGCCAAGAGUAAAUAUCUUGGAGAAUAAGUGGUGGGUAAGACUGGUGCCAGCCGCCGCGGUAACACCAGCGCCACGAGUGGCAACCACGUUUAUUGGGCCUAAAGCGUCCGUAGCCGGUUUGGUAAAUCUCUUGUGAAAUCGUCAGGCUCAACCUGACGGCGUGCAUGAGACACUGCCAAACUUGAGACCGGGAGGAGUCAAAGGUAUUUCAGGGGGAGCGGUAAAAUGUGAUAAUCCCUGGAAGAUCACCUAUGGCGAAGGCAUUUGACUAGAACGGAUCUGACGGUCAGGGACGAAGGCUAGGGGAGCGAUCCGGAUUAGAUACCCGAGUAGUCCUAGCAGUAAACGCUGCGAGCUAGAUGUUGCACUUCUCACGA